AAAUUGACUGUUAACAAUUAAGAAAUAAUAUUUACCACAAUUAGUAUAAUAUUUUUGUUUCUUUUCUAUUUUUUUUUCAGGUUUUCGUUUCGUUCACCUAAGACGGAGGAUAAAUUAACUUAAUAACAUAUCAGAGAUUAUAAUACAAUUUAAUUUAUUUCAAACUAAUGAUGCCAAUGGAUAAACAAUUAACGACACUUUUUGAUUAGCUAUAUUCAACUGAUCAAAUGAUGAAUAUCAUCUAUGUGACUUGAAUUUCAAGCUACAAACUACAUUUGGUUAUCAUGAGGUGUUGAACUAAAUUCAACAGAUUCAUUGAUGUAUUGAUAUGAAAAUUUUUGUUCCAACAAAAGGAAUAAAAAACUUUUGAUCUCAAUUGCCUAACGAAUCAAAAGUUUGACAUUUAACCAAAGUUGAUGAAAAGCAAUUAACAUAAUUGUGAUUAUCUCAUGUUUCUCAUGAUUAUUAUCCAAUAAUUACCCAACCAACCUGUUGAAGAGUUUAACAAGAAGAAUAAAGAAAAGUUCUGAGUAGCAAUAAGAUUUCCUUGUAGACCAACAAAUAUAUGACAUUAGAACUUUUUUUUCCUUCUUUUUCCUAUUCGAACUUGACAUUUUUGAGUGAAAGUGAUCGAAACUUUUUCUUUUUCUUUUAAAGAUAGAAAAAGUUUUUUCUUUCAUUUUUUUUCUCACCUUUCUAGUUAAUUAAAUUCUAAUCUCAUUAUCGAUCUUAACAUCUUAAUUAAUAUACUGUAGAUAAUGAUGAUCAUCAAGAUGAACUAAAAAGUUUCACCUUUUCGAAUGAUUUUUUUUUCUCGAAAAAAUCAUCAUUUCGAUUCUAUCAAUGAUAAUGAGCUCACUAAAGUUAAUCUUCAUCUCUUUAAUGGCUUCAUCCCUUCAUUUCACACCUGAAGAAAAACUAAUCUUAAAUAUCUAAUUGUUUGAUUAGUAUUUUGUAUUCAAAUGAAUUCAAAUUGUUAAUCAAUGUGAAGUCUCAAAAAUUUACCUGACGAUCAGUUAACUCAUAUGAAUAUAAUUUAAUCAAUUCUAUCUUCUUACCUUACAGAUUAUAACUUUUUCUCCAUCAUCAUUAUCAUCCUACUCUCAUUAAAUGUUGGAUAUUUACCUUAAAUACUUUUUUUUUGGAAAGUUCAAUAACAGAAUCAACUUUCCACCCAUGUUGAUAAACUUAAUUUCAUCCAAAGUGAACACAAUCAUUUAAAAUAUAUAUGAAAUUAAACAAACCCCCGAGGCGAGAGUCAAAAGUUGAUCAUGGUGAUGUGACUGUUAUCAUUUACUUUUGGUUAUUAUUAUGGUUGAUGGAGGUAAAAAAAGUUCUUAAAGCAGUUUCAUUGACCUUUCGAGUUUAAAUUGGUUCAUCAUUUUAUUCAUUAUCUUGAGAGAAUAACUAGAAAAAUAAUAACUUUCAGCGAUAAUAAUGAUGGUGAAAAUGACGGUGAUUUAAUCGUGAAGAAGCAAGUUUCAAAUUCCCAGGCAAAUUUCCCCGAUAUUGAAAUAAAUGAACCAAAUCCAAUGGACUCUCAUGAAAUGGGAAUUGGUUGACUGGUCAGUUGAUGGCUACACAUUUUACUCUCUCAUCCACUUGUCAUCAUCAUGAUUAUUAUCAUUAUUCAGUGAUACUUCAAUCUCAAUUUCAUCAGAAAAUUGAGUUUCUUUCUUUCUCCCUGUUUCCAUGAUAAAGUAAUUAAGGACCAAAAAAGACUAGGAAAUAAUUAUUUUCUUGUCCAUCAUUGGUUAAUAAUCGAAUAUCUGAUUUUCGUUGUCCAACAUAAAAAAUCUGAUGGACUUUAAUGGACUCGAAUUGGAUAAUAAUAUUGGUGAAAUUCUGAAUUUCGAUUGGUUCAUUUACUUACAAUGAUGUACUUCCACUUGGUGAAGGUGUACUCAGGGGAGAUGGACUUCUACUUGAUUCGAUUUUGCAUUUGGGGGAUGUGGUCUCUUCGAUUGUACCUUCAUCUGAUCGGUGUUCCAACUGCUGAUGGCCCAUGGAUGAGGCUCGUUGAUGGUGUUGAUGAGAAUGAUGAGUUGAUAUUAAAGUUGUUGGUGUUUUCUUGGUUUGCAAUUGUUGAGAAAGGUGGUAACUCGUCACAAAUUUGAUGAAAAUAAAGGGAUGCGGAUUUUUUACCAGUUAGUGCUGAAGUUGCAUCUUUGGAGGAACAAAUUGAUUCCUGG